AGAGUUUGAUCCUGGCUCAGAACGAACGUUAGCGGCGCGCUUAACACAUGCAAGUCGAACGAGAAAGUCCUACGGGAUGAGUAGAGUGGCGCACGGGUGAGUAACACGUGGGUGACCUACCCUCUGGAGGGGGAUAACAUCUGGAAACGGAUGCUAAUACCGCAUAAGUCGGCUCUAUGAACGAGUCGGGAAAGGUGGCGCAAGCUACCACCAGGGGCAGGGCCCGCGACCCAUCAGCUAGUUGGCAGGGUAAAGGCCUACCAAGGCGACGACGGGUAGCUGGUCUGAGAGGAUGACCAGCCACACUGGAACUGAGACACGGUCCAGACUCCUACGGGAGGCAGCAGUGGGGAAUAUUGCGCAAUGGGCGAAAGCCUGACGCAGCGACGCCGCGUGAGUGAUGAAGGCCUUCGGGUCGUAAAGCUCUGUAGUAGAGGGAAGAACAACCUCACGGGUAAUAUUCGUGAGGCCUGACGGUACCUUUUCAGAAAGCCCCGGCUAACUCCGUGCCAGCAGCCGCGGUAAUACGGAGGGGGCAAGCGUUGUUCGGAAUCACUGGGCGUAAAGCGCAUGUAGGCGGCCUUUCGUGUCAGAUGUGAAAGCCCACGGCUCAACUGUGGAAGUGCAUUUGAAACUGGAGGGAUAGAAUACGGGAGAGGGUUGUAGAAUACCAGGUGUAGAGGUGAAAUUCGUAGAUAUCUGGUAGAAUACCGGUGGCGAAGGCGGCAACCUGGACCGAUAUUGACGCUGAGAUGCGAAAGCGUGGGGAGCGAACAGGAUUAGAUACCCUGGUAGUCCACGCUGUAAACGAUGGAUACUGGGUGCAGUGGGUAUCGACCCCUGCUGUGCCGUAGCUAACGCGUUAAGUAUCCCGCCUGGGGAGUACGGCCGCAAGGCUAAAACUCAAAGAAAUUGACGGGGGCCCG
rnacentral:rRNA from 1 species